ACGCUACGCAGGCUAUACAUGCAGUCGAACGGUGUCUUCGGACAUAGUGGCGCACGGGUGCGUAACACGUAUGCAACCUACCUUACAUUGGGGGAUAGCCUUUCGAAAGGGAGAUUAAUACCGCAUAAGACAGUAGCUGGGCAUCCAGCAGCUGUUAAAGAUUUAUCGAUGUAAGCUGGGCAUGCGUCCAAUUAGCUAGUUGGUGAGGUAAUGGCUCACCAAGGCAAUGAUUGGUAGGGGAACUGAGAGGUCAAUCCCCCACACUGGCACUGAGAUACGGGCCAGACUCCUACGGGAGGCAGCAGUAGGGAAUAUUGGGCAAUGGACGCAAGUCUGACCCAGCCAUGCCGCGUGCAGGAUGAAGGCGUUAUGCGUUGUAAACUGCUUUUAUACAGGAAGAAACGACUCUUGCGAGAGGCAUUGACGGUACUGUAUGAAUAAGCACCGGCUAACUCCGUGCCAGCAGCCGCGGUAAAUACGGAGGGUGCAAGCGUUGUCCGGAUUUAUUGGGUUUAAAGGGUGCGCAGGUGGUUUAUUAAGUCAGUGGUGAAAGACGGUCGCUCAACGAUUGCAGUGCCAUUGAAACUGGUAGACUUGAGUAAAGUAGAGGUGGGCGGAAUUGAUAGUGUAGCGGUGAAAUGCAUAGAUUUAUCAAGAACUCCAAUUGCGUAGGCAGCUCACUUGGCUUUUACUGACACUCAUGCACGAAAGUGUGGGUAUCAAACAGGAUUAGAUACCCUGGUAG
rnacentral:rRNA from 1 species